UCCCCAUUCUCCUCUUUUUCCCAGGUCUAUUUCUGGCAUCUCUUUCCACAGCACAGGCAGCCUUGCAGAAUGAAAAGUAUUUCUCUCACCUGCCCUGGCCUCUGCCCUGGCUCUGAAAGAGGCAGGCUGUGAAUGAUGGUUGUCAGUGUCUGGAGUUUUCACUGAAAAACAGUCCCCUGAAAUGGAAAGACACACAGAGGGGAGUGAUCUCAUCGCCAUUGAUUUUUCCCAACUUUCAGUUUUGUAUCUCCAUGGUGGAACUCGAUACAGCAGCAUCCCUCAGUGGUUCCAGCCCAGAAGUGCAAGGGGAAGCCGGCUGCCUGUUCAUGAAUUCUGUAGCUCAAAAAGCAGAGGCCGAGAAAGCAAAAUUUCAAACCUUUGUCAGAAAGGGUGAGACCUUGCUCAGCACGAUAGCUGAGAACAGCUUCCUCCUUCAGUGCUGGUCUCUCUAUACUGACAGUUGACAGCUGAUGAUCUCACAUUCUCAGUCAUGCGAAUGACCUCACCUGAGCACCAGUUUGUAACGGAUGUUUAAGAGGAAAGCAGGGAAUUAAAUGCUGCACAGGAAUUUGGCACUUCUGUACAGAAAUAGAAAAACUAAAUGAAACUUAUAGUACCUUCCACUCAACUAAGAUUCUUGUGAAGCAAAGUAUAUCUGGGAAAAUAUAGUAAUAUGGUUAUUUUGUGUUCAUAGGGUGUGACUCUACUUAUAAGCACUUUUUAAUCAUUAUAAUCAAUCACUUUAAAGAUCUUAGAGGGAACUUAUUAAUCAAAAUUUAAGCCUUCUUUAAAAAAAAAAAAAAAACUUCCCAUAUACUAAUUUUGCACAGAAGCAAAAGAUUAGAUUGGGAUUCUGCCUGUUGUGGAGAGACAAAGACAAGAGUGCCCCAGAUUUCUGUGUUUGUGUUUUUACUUCAUACUUUCAAUGCAUCCGCAAGAAUAGACUUGUGUUUCUCUUCUUAAUACACAACGGUUAGAGCUCACAGAAUGUAAGUAAGAGAUUCUAUGAAUUGCACAAUAAGCCAAGGAACUUUCCCAGCUACCGGGAGGCUGAGGUGGGAGGAUUGCUUGACCCCAGUGGGUGGAGAUUGCAGUGAGCAGAGAACACAUCACUGUCACUCUAGCUUGAGUCACAGAGCAGGACCUUGUCUCAAAAAGCAAACAAAAAGCUGGGUGCAGCAGCUCAUGCCUGUAAUCCUAGCGCUUUGGGAGGCUGAUGUGGGAGGAUCACUUCAGACCAGAAGUUCGAGGCCAGCCUGGCCAACAAGGUGAAACCCUGUCUUUACUGAAAAUACAAAAAAUUAGCCAGGUGUAGAGUGGCGCAUGUCUGUAAUCCCAGCUACUCAUGAGGCUGAGGCACCAGGAUCACUUGAACUGAGAAGGCAAAGGGUACAAAGAAACAAACAAACAAAACACACAAGCCAAGAAACUUGACCCCAGUGUUUGGGUCUAUCUCUAAAAAUUCUGACUGAAUAAGUUGCCCACUUUUCAGAACAGGUGCCCAAGCUCAUUUUGUGCUGCUCUAACAGAAUGCUGAGACUGGGUAAUUUAUUACAAAGAGAAAUGUAUUGGCUCACAGUUCUGGAGGCUGGAAAGUUCAAGACCAAAGUGCCAGCAUCUGGUGCAAGUGCAAGCGUCUGUGCUGCAUCCUCACAUGGUGGAAGGCAAGAAGGCAAGAUAGGGUGGAACUUGCCCUUUUAUAAGGCACCAGUUCCACCCAUGAAGGCAGAGCCCUAUGGCCUAACCUCCUCUAAAGGGUCUUACCUCUUUAUACUCCUACAAUAAGAAUUAAAUUUCAGCAUGAGUUGUGGACAAACAUUAAAAUGACAGCAAUAAGGGAGAGGACCCCUCUCAAGGAGAUGAGGGAAACAUUUACUAUUCACGUUUUCAACUCUACCUGGCCAGGAGAUUCCAACACUGCAGCUUCUGGUGACUAAAGAGCAACCUAAUAGAGAAACUACCAAGGAAAGCUAAGUGGUUUCCAAACAAGUUCUCUCAAGGUGACACCUGAUGUGGUUCUAAAAUAUCUCAGCUUUUGCAGGUUUUAAAAUAUGACUUGUCAAUUUCCCAGGCGUGGUCUGACUCUUGGGGCCAGAGUUGCAUUGAUGGCACUUGAGAGACUAAUACAUAAUCCAGAGCUCCAAAUGGACACUGUGAAAUAAAACUGCCAAGACUAGGAGAGGAAAUUAUCUCCAGGAAAAAUGCCAUGCAUGACCAGGGUUAAUGAUAUGGAACACACCCCACAAAGAUGCUUUGCCUUUUGGUACCAGGACUUCAAAUCCUACACAAUGAAGAUGCUGUGCUGGGGCCUGGGCAAAGCCAGGCAAGAAGUGGUUCCUGCUAUCAGGCUGACUAACAUCUAUCAGAAAGAACAGAUCACGGUACUUUACAUGAUCAUAAAGUUAUAUGUGCGGUUGUGAAAUAAAAGUGAUCAUCUAAAUCAGACAGGGAGGUCGGGAACGUGUCCUGAAGAGAUGCUCUGGCUGAGUUCUGGGGGAAAAUAGGAGUGUAGUGGACAGACCAGACUCAGAAUGCUGGCCAUUGUCACCCCUCCCUCUAAGGCAAGCUUCCUCUCACCCAUGGCCCUGUUGGCAUGAAGAUUGCAUUGCAGCACCCAAGCCCCCAGCCCAUCUCCAAUUUGCAGCAGCCACAGGAGGGCAGCACCCAUCACUAAAGCCUGGUUCUGAAAACAGACAAGCCGACUGCAUGGUGGUUCCAAAGAGUUUAAAUAAAUCAGCAGAGAGAGAUUGAGCACCCAUCACUAAAGCCUGGUUCAGAAAACGAACAAGACUACUGUGUGGUGGCUCCAAAGAGUUUAAAUAAAGCAACAGAGAGAGAUUGAGUCAAUGGAGGGGUCAGAAGCUCGGAAGCGCUAUGAGAUAGAGGCUGGGCAGUAGUGAGCCAUGACUCUGAAGAGCUACCGUGGUGAUGAAACAGAAAUGCAACAGCAGACGGAGCCAGUAGGAAGAGAGAAGGGAAUGGAGAGGCCAUACAGAGAGAAUCACGGAUGCCACCAGGGAGGUCCUGGGCCCAGGGGAGACAUGGAAGGGAGGAGGACCUGGUGUGGUCACUACACCUUUUAAUGCCAGCUUCAGUCCCCAAGUGUCAUCUCUCUCUCUCUCUCACACACACACACACACACACACACACAGACACACACACAGUCACACACAUUUUUCUAAGUCAUAAAACGACCCAGAAAAUAUACUUCCAAGUAUAUAACCAAAGAAAAAUUUCACAGAUAUGUACAAGGAAACAAGUAUAAUGAUGUUCAUUGGAAAAAAUGUAAAUAUUCAGCAGAGAAAUCAGUAAUUAAUUGUGAUAUAGGUAUGUGUUGGGCUACAAUUUAGAAGUAGAGUGAACCAGUAUUCUAGACAGAUGGAUAGACAGACAUAUAAAUAUGUGACAUAUAUACACACACAGACACAUCAUAUACUUUGUAUACACAUAUACAUGGACAAGGAUAAAUCUUAAAAUGAUAAAAUUUUAAAUGACAUUUAAUAUAUACAUAAUACCAUUUAUAUGCAUUGAAAACAAUAGUAUGUUUUGCUUGUUCUGGAUACAAAAAAUACAGACAUGUAACUGUUACAAAAAUUAAAGUUUACAAUAUAGUAGUUGCUUCAAAAGAUAAUGGAAUAACUUUGGUGAGACAAAUUAGUUGUUCACUUCAAAAAGUUUAAUUUACGUUUUAUUUAAUAAGAAUUCAACCAAAUGUGACCAACAAAAUUGUGAAUUCUUGUAUAUUUAAUGAAUAGAGGGAACAAAUGAAUAGAGGGAAGGUGAGCAGAAAGGAGGCAAAAAGAAAGUGCAGUUGUCUGGACAACAAAAUCAGAAACAAAAGCACGAAUAUGGAGAGGGAGGGAUGAAAUAUAACUGGUAACAAAAAGAAUUAAUAUGUGUUGGUGAAUGUCUGAGGGUGGGACUCAGUGAGAAGGAGCCGUGCACUUUGGCUCUGGGCUUUCUGGCUGGUACUGAUGCUGAUAACAUGGAAUAGAGAACAGGGAGCGGGUUAGGGGAGGAAGGUGAUGAAUCUGACUUUGAAAGUGCUGAGUGUGAAGGUCCCAUGUUUCAUCCAAGUGGGUGACGUGUCAUGGGUACCUCAAUGCUAGGGACGGAAAUAGGAACCAUUUGCAUCAAAGUUGCAGUUGAAGCCAUGUAACAUGGGGCACCCAGGGAAAGUACACAGAGUGACAAGAACAGAUAGUAAAGGAUGGAGCCUUGUGCUAUGAAUGGACUGAAGAUUGCCAGAAAACGAGCUUGUGAGGUGGGUGGUAAGAAAUAGUGCUGGUGCCAUAAAAGAAUGGAAGUACAGAGGCCCAGGAAAGCAAGUACCUUAAGGCAUAAAACUUACAACAAAAGUCAGAAAGAAAUAUGAAUACAUAUUUAUUGGAUUUGGAGGUGCAGAGGAUGAGCCACAGGAUCCCCCCCUCUGGUCACUCUUAGCCAUUGGCCUCUGUGCCCCCCUUCUUUGUGUGACUCCAUGAAAGCAUGCAGUUCAAAGCCCCAGGAAUGAAGGGGUUAAGCGGAUGACUUCUUUUUAUGUUUCCGGUCUUUCCUUUCUUCAUUCCGGGACAUUUUUCAUGAGCAUUCCUUCCCUUACUUGUUGAUGUUAUUUUAAACAUCUUCUUUAAGUAGUGAUAUAGCCUGGAUCUGUGUCCCCACCGAAUCUCAUGUCGAAUUAUAAUCCCUAAUGUUGGAGGUGGUGCCUGGUGGGAGGUGAUUGGAUCACAGGGGCGGUUUUUCCUGAAUAGUUUAACACCAUCCCCGUUGGUACUGUCGUGGCAAUAGUGAAUGUGUUCUCGUGAGAUCUGGUUGUUAAAAGUGUGUAGCGUCUCCCCCUGGCCCCUCUGUCUUUCUCCUGCUCCCACCGUUUUUGACGCUUCUCUCCUCCUUUACCUUCUGCCAUGGUUAUAAAUUCCCUGAGACCUCUCCAGAAGCUGAUGCUGCUUCCUGUACAGCCUGCAGAACCACAAGACCAUUAAAACUCUUUUCUUUAUAGAUUACCCAGUCUCCGGAAUUUCUUUAUAGCAAUACGAGAAUGGCCUAACACAAGUAGGAAAGUAUUAUGGGUUGGAUUCUUCUCCCUUUAAAAUGCUUAUCUGGAAGUCCUAAUCUCCAGAACCUCAGAAUGUGACUGUAUUUGGACAGAGGGUGUUUAAAGAGGUCAUUAUUCUCAAAUGAGGCCUUUAGAGUGGGCCCUAAUCCAGUACAACUGGUGUCCUUUUAAGAGGGAGAGACACCAGGCCUGUGCAUGUGCAGAGGAAAGGCCGUGUGAGGACACAGGGAGAAGGCAGCCAUCUGCAAGCCAAGAAGAGAGGCCUCAGGAGAAAUCAAACCUGCCAACACCUUGAUCUUCAACUUCUAGCCUCCAGAGCUGCGAGAAAAUACAUUUCUGUUGUUCAAACCACCCAGUCUGUGAUGUCUUGUAAUGGGAGCCCUAGCAAACCAAUGUAGGAAGGAUGUGGAAGUUCUGCUAGUAGCCAUGUCUGCCUGGCUGUGUCUGUUAUGAAUGUGCUUGUGUGUCCUGGAGGGAGCGAUGUGUGCACAAACUAAGGUUGCAGAUCCGGUCACACUCUCAAAACCAAAGGGGACAGAAGUAGGAGAUGAAGUCAGGAAGAUUAAACUCAGGGACCAGAUCAUGUAGAUCAUUUUAAGGAUAUCUCUGUUGAAACGUUUUUAAAAGUUGCAGUGUCUUGGCUUGAUAAGGCCACUGGAAAAACAGGAAACAUGAACAAAAAAACUAACUGAGUUCAUUUUAAACAGCAUCCAUCCUCUUGCCCCUGCAGAAAGGUGAACAAAAGGCAAAUGACACAAACCUGAAAUGCUAGGCAGAGGAGUUUUGAUGAUGUGAUACAGGAGAGAGUCCAGGUGUCUCAGCAUGAAUAACUGAAAAGUGGGUGUUAUUUGAGGAGGAUCAAGAAAGGUUGGGAAGGAGGUGGGGGAAGAGAACAUUCCCAAUCUCAGCUUACUGUCAUGCCUUCCUGCCUCCUACCUCCUGUCACAUCAGUCCUUCCUGUAAAUGCUGGCAGAGGAGCCCCUGGCCCUAGUGCCACGUUCUAGAAGAUGCCCUCUGCCCUUCUCCAGCCAGGCUGGUCACCACUAGGUGAUGAUUCCAAGGGGCCAAAGGGCCAUGUCCCCCAGAAUCCAUGCACCUCCUUCUAGACCACACCCUCCAGUACCUGGGACCCUGGAAUGAUCUACUCCUAUAGUCCCAAGCCCACUUCCAGCAUUACUGCCUGCCUCUUUCCAGGGUCCACCUUCUGGAGGGCCAAGCGGGCUUCUGGGGUGUGCUGGGCAAG